rnacentral:rRNA from 1 species
UGUGAAAGGCACGGGCUCAACCCGCAGACGGCACAUGAUACUGCGAGACUUGAGUGAUGGAGAGGGAAGCGGAAUUCGGGGUGUAGCAGUGAAAUGCGUAGAUAUCGAGAGGAACACUCGUGGCGAAGGCGGGUUCCUGGACAUUAACUGACGCUGAGGCACGAAGGCCAGGGGAGCGAAAGG